GACCUCCAUGCCUCUGCCGUAAAAGAACUUCUAAAAGGAACUUGGAGGAAUGCAGUCCUCUUGAUUGUGACAGGAGCAUGGCAACACUGGUUUGCAGCCACGUAAUUAAAAUCAAGCAUUCUUCAUAUCACAUCUUGUGGAAAAAAAUGAUACAUCCAGACAUACCAACACAAGAACAACAGAGACGUGCUGCCUUACACUUUUGCCCUGCAUCAGGCUUCAAAGGAGACACUGGAGUUCAGCUAUCCAUAAGCUUCCAGUGAGCAAGCAGGACAGGCAAGCAGAAUGGCUGUGGAGAUACUGUUGAAAUAGCUGACAUCCUGGAGGUCCAUUAAUAGCAGUGCCACAGGAGUCCUACUCCCAGAUGGGCAGACGUAAACAGAGAACCUGGAUAACCUGAACAUUUGCCUACCCGAAGAAGCAGGAUGGUGGGUGUUGUUCUAUUUCAGGAUUAAAUGUUGAUACAUGCAGUUUGGACUGGCUUUGGAGCCAUCAUCUAUACACUGCAAUCAUAUUUUGAUUUUAUAUCUUCAUUUGCAGAAACAUCAGCUGGGCAAUGUCAUGACUGAACUCUUGCGCAUACAUUUAUACCUUUUACUUACUACUACAGUGGGAUUCUUUUCACAAACUACCAAAAGUCAGGGAUCCAACCUCAGCCAGCCAUACCCUACCUCUGUGGUAGACAGGCACCUAUCCCUCCAAACCACCUUCUUCUAGAAAAAGUGGCAUAAAUUGCCUUUUGCAGGCGCUUUGUUUUCUCUGUCAACUCCAGGGAGAGGAAGCCUAGAUGCCUACCUUUGACUAGAGAACUGUCUUCCAGCUAUCUAAAGUCAGGUGAAAUAAAACCUGUUUGAAGGUGACAAAGGUACAUGUAAAUGCUGAAUGAGAACAGACAGGCGAAGACAGCAAAACAACAUGUAUUUAGUAUCUCAGUAACAAGCAAUAAUUGAACAUGAAGUUCCUAAUCUUAAAGCAGGAAUCUGACAUCAGUUCCUGGCUGAAUUCUUAACUGGCUUUUUUUUUUUUUUUUUUUAGAAUAGCACAGUGAAUAUUGCUUUUUGAGGAUUCUUUGUUCCCGUGUACUAUUACCUUUUUAUUACUUUUGCCCAAAGUAAUCCAAUUAGGACACUUAAUACUAAUGUUUUGUGUAAUUGUAGAUAUCCUAGUGUAGACUGUGGGCCAGUAAAAGCCUUAAUUUCAUAUAGUAUGGCAGUUUCAUAUGCAUUUAUAGAGAAGGGAGUCUGUCUCAUUUUACAGUGCUCCUUGUUCCGCAGGAAAUGACAGGCAUGUGUAAUGUGCAUAGGAAUAUUAUGCCAUCUUAACUUUAAAACCAAUUAAGUCACUGUAAAGACUUAGUUUUUUGAAUACUAUAAUUGGUUUGGUCUAGGGAAACUGUUAUAAAGAUGCAAUGUAAAUAUCUUUAUGAAUGACAUGAAGAAACAUUUAUUUUUAUGUUCCUUGGUUUUAGGGUUUUUCAUUUUUCCUUCUGAGACACUGAAUACUUACCAGAAGAAUAUGCUUUGUGCUUUCCUGGGUACCACACAAUGCAAACUUUUAGCCCUGCAGGUGGACCAAUAAUAUCUCUUUUAUUACUUACAAGAUGAGUAGAAUUUGAUCCUAAAUAAUUUAAAUGAAGUCAGGUAGAAUCCUAAACCAAAGACAUAAUAUGAAACCCCUGGAAAUGGCUGAGGUCUGGUUUUCAUUUUAAUACUUCUGGAGGUCUCACAAGUUUUCCUCUCAGAUAAAUUAAAAAUCAAUCUCUAUAGGGUUUUUUUAAGGCUAGUCAAGUGGGGUUUUUUUUGAUGUUUUGCAGUCUUAAAUACUUACAAGUGCUGUAUCUCACCUUCAAGAUGGUUUUAAAUUCAUCAAGUUGGAAUCUUUUUCAGUCCUCUGAGAUAACAGCUGAAGGUUCCACAGUUUUUCUGCAGUGCUUGAUUAUAUUACUCAUAUCCAAAUGGCAACAAUGUUUAGAGGGAUGUGACAAUAAAAUCCAUUUAGUAAUGUGGUGUUAAUACUUAGCUGGUGACGCAAAGUUUCAAAGGAAGCUAUUUUGUCAUUGUGGUGUGGUACUUACUGAAUGUUAUUUCUGAAGAUAGUUGCUUAUGAAUAUGUCAUAUAUUAAGUUCUGUAGUACACUGGGCUACUUGUAUUUUAAACUUGUAUUUCUUAUUUCAGAUUUGAAGCUUCAAAACAUGCAUUUUUUUGGAAUCCCUUUCUUUAUCCUGGUGCUUACUACCUGUAUCCAAGUCCAUAUAAAAACAUUGUAACCAUUACAUAUUUUCUCUGUGUCCACAUUUACAGCAUUAUCAAGAAAUCCCUCUGCUUGAACCUGUACGCCCAGCUUCUACAUGUCAUUUUUGGCACCUUUAUCAAAUAAAGUUUUAUCAGGCAUAUUUUUUAUU